GCACAGCUGACGAGUCCCAAACAGAACAAAACAGCUGUCCAGUGC
rfam:Echinostoma caproni strain Egypt genome assembly, scaffold: ECPE_scaffold0000652